rnacentral:tRNA from 1 species
UCCCUGGUAGUAUAUCGGUUUAGUACACGCGCCUGUCAUAAAAUGAAUGCAUAAGGAUGCUUUCGCGCGAAAGCUGGGUUCGACUCCCAGCCAGGGAG